rnacentral:rRNA from 1 species
UGGGGAAUAUUGCACAAUGGGCGCAAGCCUGAUGCAGCAACGCCGCGUGAGGGACGACGGCCUUCGGGUUGUAAACCUCUUUUAGUAGGGAAGAAGCGAAAGUGACGGUACCUGCAGAAAAAGCACCGGCUAACUACGUGCCAGCAGCCGCGGUAAUACGUAGGGUGCGAGCGUUGUCCGGAAUUAUUGGGCGUAAAGAGCUCGUAGGCGGUCUGUCGCGUCUGCUGUGAAAACCCGAGGCUCAACCUCGGGGCCUGCAGUGGGUACGGGCAGACUAGAGUGCGGUAGGGGAGAAUGGAAUUCCUGGUGUAGCGGUGGAAUGCGCAGAUAUCAGGAGGAACACCGAUGGCGAAGGCAGUUCUCUGGGCCGUAACUGACGCUGAGGAGCGAAAGCGUGGGGAGCGAACAGGAUUAGAUACCCUGGUAGUCCACGCCGUAAAACGUUGGGCGCUAGAUGUGGGGACCAUUCCACGGUUUCCGUGUCGCAGCUAACGCAUUAAGCGCCCCGCCU